rnacentral:rRNA from 1 species
GUCCACGCCCUAACGAUGUCGACUAGUCGUUCGGAGCAGCAAUGCACUGAGUGACGCAGCUAACGCGUGAAGUCGACCGCCUGGGAGUACGGCCGCAAGGUUAAACUCAAGGAAUUGACGGGACCCGCACAAGCGGUGGAUGAUGUGGAUUAAUUCGAUGCAACGCGAAAACCUUACCUACCCUUGACAUGUCUGGAACCUUGCUGAGAGGCGAGGGUGCCUUCGGGAGCCAGAACACAGGUGCUGCAUGGCUGUCGU